AAGCUGGAAUGUCCUGGCAUGAGCUGGGAGCUACGAAGAUGGACUGAAACUUGGGUGAGUUCUUAUUGCCUUUGACCUUGAGGUUAUCCCUCAGAGGCUAGAAUCCUUUGUCUCAGAGCUAGGCCUACAUACUUGGUCCAGUAUUCAGGGGAAGUUGCAGUAAUUGCAAGCCCAGCAAUAGUCUCACAACAACAAGCCCACCCUAACCAGAAACAUGCAGGAAAUGGAAUUCAGUCUAGCUGCGAUGACACCUUAUAAAUCCAUCACAGUCUAUAAUCCCAUAUUCUGAGUGCAUGCUUCUUUUCACAUGAGUUGGACAAGAAGAGAUACAUGGUGCAAAGUAAAUUCAUUCUUUCUAAGGAAGAUACCAUCAUUUCAUGAUGCAAACUUUACCUCCUUUACUGUUGAGAGGCCACCUCCCUGUAGCAUUUUGGGCUGAUCCUGGUGGUUUCAGCCACAUGGGGGCAACCAAGUUUCUACCCCCUAUCUGAGGAGUUUAUACAAAUAUCACCAGCAAAGGGCUAUGAAGAAGUGAAUAUUCCCUGGAGUUCUGGACCUGCAGAGCACAGUUCCUGCCCAGUGACACCAUCAGAGACUGAAAGGAGUGAGGAAAGUCUCAGAGAAGGUCAGUGGGAGGAAAAUUCAAACCUGUGGCCAAGCUCAGGAGCUCCAGAGGGCAUCCCUGUACCACGAGAGUUUGUGCUCAGAAUGACGGCCCUGAGUCAUCCAGAGAAGUGCAAGGUGCUCUCUCCAUCCUCUCUUUCCUGAAGACAAAAA
rnacentral:lncRNA from 1 species